rnacentral:rRNA from 1 species
GUUGGGUAGGGGAGCGUUCUGUAAGCCUGUGAAGGUGUGUCGUGAGGCAUGCUGGAGGUAUCAGAAGUGCGAAUGCUGACAUAAGUAACGAUAAAGCGGGUGAAAAGCCCGCUCGCCGGAAGACCAAGGGUUCCUGUCCAACGUUAAUCGGGGCAGGGUGAGUCGACCCCUAAGGCGAGGCCGAAAGGCGUAGUCGAUGGGAAACGGGUUAAUAUUCCCGUACUUGGUGUUACUGCGAAGGGGGGACGGAGAAGGCUAUGUUGGCCGGGCGACGGUUGUCCCGGUUUAAGCGUGUAGGUGUGUGUUCCAGGUAAAUCCGGUUCACUUUAACACUGAGGCGUGAUGACGAGGCACUACGGUGCUGAAGCAACAAAUGCCCUGCUUCCAGGAAAAGCCUCUAAGCAUCAGGUAACAUCAAAUCGUACCCCAAACCGACACAGGUGGUCAGGUAGAGAAUACCAAGGCGCUUGAGAGAACUCGGGUGAAGGAACUAGGCAAAAUGGUGCCGUAACUUCGGGAGAAGGCACGCUGACACGUAGGUGAAGUGAUUUACUCAUGGAGCUGAAGUCAGUCGAAGAUACCAGCUGGCUGCAACUGUUUAUUAAAAACACAGCACUGUGCAAACACGAAAGUGGACGUAUACGGUGUGACGCCUGCCCGGUGCCGGAAGGUUAAUUGAUGGGGUCAGCGCAAGCGAAGCUCCUGAUCGAAGCCCCGGUAAACGGCGGCCGUAACUAUAACGGUCCUAAGGUAGCGAAAUUCCUUGUCGGGUAAGUUCCGACCUGCACGAAUGGCGUAAUGAUGGCCAGGCUGUCUCCACCCGAGACUCAGUGAAAUUGAACUCGCUGUGAAGAUGCAGUGUACCCGCGGCAAGACGGAAAGACCCCGUGAACCUUUACUAUAGCUUGACACUGAACAUUGAGCCUUGAUGUGUAGGAUAGGUGGGAGGCUUUGAAGUGUGGACGCCAGUCUGCAUGGAGCCGACCUUGAAAUACCACCCUUUAAUGUUUGAUGUUCUAACGUGGACCCGUGAUCCGGGUUGCGGACAGUGUCUGGUGGGUAGUUUGACUGGGGCGGUCUCCUCCUAAAGAGUAACGGAGGAGCACGAAGGUUGGCUAAUCCUGGUCGGACAUCAGGAGGUUAGUGCAAUGGCAUAAGCCAGCUUGACUGCGAGCGUGACGGCGCGAGCAGGUGCGAAAGCAGGUCAUAGUGAUCCGGUGGUUCUGAAUGGAAGGGCCAUCGCUCAACGGAUAAAAGGUACUCCGGGGAUAACAGGCUGAUACCGCCCAAGAGUUCAUAUCGACGGCGGUGUUUGGCACCUCGAU